AUGGCUACAACAAAGAAGGGUAGUGAGAAGAAGGACGUUCUGCCCUUAAUGAGGUGGUAACCUGAGAAUACACCUGAGAAUACACCAGCAACAUUCACAGGUGCAUCCAUGGAGUGGGCUUCAAGAAGCAUUUCCCUCAGGCACUCAAAGAAAUGCCAGAAUUUGCCAGGAAGAAGAGUGUGCACACUCCAGAAGUGCGCAUUGAUACCAGGCUCAGUGAAGCUCCUGGGCCAAAGGGAUAAGCAACACUCCACAUCACUCUGAGUACGCUUGUCCAGAAAACAUAGUGAGGAUGAGGAUUCCCCAAACAAGCUCUGCACUGUGGUAACUUAUGUGCCUGUACCACGUUCAAAAAAAACCUACAGAUGGUCAAUGUGGGAGAACU
rnacentral:lncRNA from 1 species